CAACUUUGCAUGUCAAUUUUGAAAAUGGAGCUUGAGGUACUGUGACGUAAAGAGGACAAGAGAAAGGGCCUUCGGGGCACUCACUGCUAUACUUCCUCCAGCAGAGGAAUGGGAGGAUGAAUUUCAGUCCAGAGAGAGAAGAGAGCAAUUAAAUGGAGUUAGACUCCAGGGCCCUGCCCAUUUGACAGCAGUACGUCAUUCCAGAUCACUUCUGCCAUCUGCCUACCUGCAUACUUCAUCAUAUUGUGUUUUGCUGAAAGUCCAUAUAUAGAUCACAUAAAAAAACUUUUUAAAGAAUGUAAUACAUUAUGUAUGCAAGAUAGUAGGGGAGUAAAUUGGAAACUUUUUCAUGAUGUGAUCCGACAUAGAUUCCCUUAGCCAGUGAUACAAUAUUUGCCGAUAACACAAAACAUACCAUGAUACGAUUAGCAUUCGGUUAGAUUAAGGGGAAUAUCAAUCAAAAUUUUGAUAUUAUGUACAACCGUCAGGGGUUGCUUGUCUUAAAUACAAUACAGAGAUGUGUGAGGCAGAAUGAAGGAUUAGAGACUAUUUAACCCUCUGGGGUCUGAGGAUUUUUGGGGCCCUAGAGAAGUUUUGACAUGCCCUGACAUUUGUGCUUUUUUCAGUUGUUCAUAAACAUAUUAAUGACAAAAGUGUCAUUACACUGUAUUCAGCACAAACUAGGCUACAAUAAUAUGUGAAGAACAUGUAUGUACAUGUUUGUAUUUUUUGAAGGAAUAACGUUUAUGCGUGGUUAUUGAAAAAACAAAAAAACUUAAGUCACUGAAAUAAGGACAAAAAAAAAAAAAAAAAAAAAUUAAUCUGUGUUCACACGACUUCUUGGUACUGUAGGUCGUAAACUAGAGUUUUUCCUUCAAAAUGAUGUAAAAAAUUAUCCUGCCUACUCAUUCAUAUAAAACAAUAGAGAGAUUUAAAUUUUCUAAGACACUUUUUGUCAAGAAACACAGUAUGCGUGAAGGCGUGAAUCAUCAUGAAUAAUGCUGUAAUUCACACCUGAGAUGACAAAAGAUCUGCAUAAUGACCUCUAAUGACCUGCAUAUUAAUGAGCUCUUUCAGUCAGGUAGGCUGUGAAAAAACCCUCUGUGAUCAUGCUGAUAACAGGAUUAAUGUCCACUCU